rnacentral:lncRNA from 1 species
AUCUCUGACCAUCCCCGCCAGGCAUAUAGUAGGUAUUCAGUAAAAAGUAAUUUUUAUUUUUUUCCCCCCUCAGGUUCACAGUAAAGGUGCUAAGAAAGAGAAUGUAAGACAGGAAGAUAAUUAAAUAUUUUUACUGAGAGACAUUGGAGGGGUGUGGAGGGAAAAAGGAAGAGAGAGCAUCUUAAGAGGCUCCACUCCACGCCCAGUGUGAGCCCAUCCUCACCACCCUGAGAUCAUGACCUGAGCCAAAAUCAAGUCAGACGCUUAACCAACUCUGCCAUCCAGGUGCCCCAG